GAUGAACGCUAGCUACAGGCUUAACACAUGCAAGUCGAGGGGCAUCGCGGCGUAGCAAUACGCUGGCGGCGACCGGCGCACGGGUGAGUAACACGUAUCCAACCUGCCUCCAGCCCGGGGAUAGCCUUCCGAAAGGAAGAUUAAUACCCCGAUGGCAUCUGCCUUCCGCAUGGUCGGCAGAUUAAAGAUUUAUCAGCUGGAGAUGGGGAUGCGUUCCAUUAGGCAGUCGGCGGGGUAACGGCCCACCGAACCGACGAUGGAUAGGGGUUCUGAGAGGAAGGUCCCCCACAUUGGAACUGAGACACGGUCCAAAACUCCUAACGGGAGCAGCAGUGAGGAAUACUUGGGUCAAUGGACGGAAGUCUGGAACCAGCCUAAGUAGCGUGCAGGAUGACGGCCCUAUGGGUUG
rnacentral:rRNA from 1 species